rnacentral:rRNA from 1 species
CGAACGCUGGCGGUAUGCUUAACACAUGCAAGUCGAACGAGAAGUUUUUUAUUGAACCUUCGGGGGAUAUAAGAGACAGACAGUGGCGAACGGGUGAGUAACGCGUGGGCAACCUACCUAUCGGAGCGGGAUAGCCUCGAGAAAUCGGGAGUAAAACCGCAUAACACGGAUAUAUCGCAUGAUGAAUCCGUCAAAACUCCGGUGCCGAUAGAUGGGCCCGCGUCUGAUUAGCUAGUUGGUAAGGUAAGGGCUUACCAAGGCAACGAUCAGUAGCCGGUCUGAGAGGGCGAACGGCCACACUGGAACUGAGACACGGUCCAGACUCCUACGGGAGGCAGCAGUGGGGAAUAUUGCGCAAAUGGGGGCCAAACCCUGACGCAGCAAUAACCGCGU